rnacentral:rRNA from 1 species
CCUACGGGAGGCUGCAGUGGGGAAUAUUGCACAAUGGGGGAAACCCUGAUGCAGCGACGCCGCGUGAGUGAAGAAGUAUUUCGGUAUGUAAAGCUCUAUCAGCAGGGAAGAAAAUGACGGUACCUGACUAAGAAGCCCCGGCUAACUACGUGCCAGCAGCCGCGGUAAUACGUAGGGGGCAAGCGUUAUCCGGAUUUACUGGGUGUAAAGGGAGCGUAGACGGCCAGACAAGUCAGAAGUGAAAGCCCAGGGCUCAACCCUGGGACUGCUUUUGAAACUGCCGGGCUGGAGUGCAGGAGAGGUAAGCGGAAUUCCUAGUGUAGCGGUGAAAUGCGUAGAUAUCAGGAGGAAUACCGUUAGCGAAGGCGGCAAUCUGGCUGGAAACUGACGCUGAGGUGCGAAAGCGUGGGUAGCAAACAGGAUUAGAUACCCUGGUAGUC